rnacentral:rRNA from 1 species
AUUGAACGCUGGCGGCAGGCCUAACACAUGCAAGUCGAGCGGAUGAAGGGAGCUUGCUCCUGGAUUCAGCGGCGGACGGGUGAGUAAUGCCUAGGAAUCUGCCUGGUAGUGGGGGAUAACGUCCGGAAACGGGCGCUAAUACCGCAUACGUCCUGAGGGAGAAAGGGGGGGAUCUUCGGACCUCACGCUAUCAGAUGAGCCUAGGUCGGAUUAGCUAGUUGGUGGGGUAAAGGCCUACCAAGGCGACGAUCCGUAACUGGUCUGAGAGGAUGAUCAGUCACACUGGAACUGAGACACGGUCCAGACUCCUACGGGAGGCAGCAGUGGGGAAUAUUGGACAAUGGGCGAAAGCCUGAUCCAGCCAUGCCGCGUGUGUGAGGAAGGUCUUCGGAUUGUAAAGCACUUUAAGUUGGGAGGAAGGGCAGUAAGUUAAUACCUUGCUGUUUUGACGUUACCAACAGAAUAAGCACCGGCUAACUUCGUG